rnacentral:rRNA from 1 species
CCCUUAGAUGUUCUGGGCUGCACGCGUGCUACAAUGGCGUUUCCAGCAAGUCUGCGAACCCGAGAGGGCCAGCGGAUCUUCGAAUUGGCGUCGUGAUCGGGACAGUCGAUUGCAAUUAUUUGACUCAAACGAGGAAUUCCUUGUAAUCGCGAUUCAUCAUAUCGCGCUGAAUACGUCCCUGCCCUUUGUACACACCGCCCGUCGCUCCUACCGAUUGAGCGAUCCGGUAAAUGUUUUGGAUUGGUGCCGGGGCGGCCAGCUGCCGGUCGCUACGAAAUUUUGUGAACCUUAUCGCUUAGAGGAAGGAAAAGUCGUAACA